UACGUAGGGUGCAAGCGUUGUCCGGAAUUAUUGGGCGUAAAGAGCUCGUAGGCGGUCUGUCGCGUCGGCUGUGAAAACCCGAGGCUCAACCUCGGGCCUGUAGUCGAUACGGGCAAACUAGAGUACUGCAGGGGAGACUGGAAUUCCUGGUGUAGCGGUGAAAUGCGCAGAUAUCAGGAGGAACACCGGUGGCGAAGGCGGGUCUCUGGGCCGAUACUGACGCUGAGGAGCGAAAGCGUGGGGAGCGAACAGG
rnacentral:rRNA from 1 species